rnacentral:rRNA from 1 species
UACGAAGGGGGCUAGCGUUGCUCGGAAUCACUGGGCGUCAAGGGCGCGUAGGCGGACUCUUAAGUCGGGGGUGAAAGCCCAGGGCUCAACCCUGGAAUUGCCUUCGAUACUGAGAGUCUUGAGUUCGGAAGAGGUUGGUGGAACUGCGAGUGUAGAGGUGAAAUUCGUAGAUAUUCGCAAGAACACCAGUGGCGAAGGCGGCCAACUGGUCCGAUACUGACGCUGAGGCGCGAAAGCGUGGGGAGCAAACAGG